rnacentral:rRNA from 1 species
AGUGAACGCUGGCGGCAGGCCUUACACAUGCAAGUCGAACGGUAACGGAGUUUCGGCUUGCGACGAGGGGCGGACGGUGGCGUAAGACAGCGGAACAUGCCCGAACGUGGGUUUUAGCGGGGGGAAAGGUUGGCUAAUACACCAUACGAUCGACGAAGGCAAACGGGUGACCGCAGGGCAUUUCCCGAACUUGGGGGACUGUAUGAGCUGAUGUCGGAUUAGGUAGUUGGGGGGAUAAAGGCCUACCAAGGCGACGAUCCGUAGCUGGUCUGAGAGGAUGAUCAGCCACACUGGGACUGAGACACGGUCCAGACUCCUACGGGAGGCAGCAGUGGGGAAUAUUGGACAAUGGGCGCAAGCCUGAUCCAGCCAUGCCGCGUGCAGGAUGAAGGCCUUCGGGUUGUAAACUGCUUUUGUUCGGGAAGAAAAGCAUUAUUUUAAUACCGCGCGGUUCUGACGGUACCGUAAGAAUAAGCACCGGCUAACUACGUG